rnacentral:rRNA from 1 species
CACGUAGGGCGCAAGCGUUGUCCGGAAUUAUUGGGCGUAAAGAGCUCGUAGGCGGUCUGUUGCGUCUGCUGUGAAAACCCGGGGCUUAACCCCUGGCUUGCAGUGGAUACGGACAGACUAGAGGUAGGUAGGGGAGAAUGGAAUUCCCGGUGUAGCGGUGAAAUGCGCAGAUAUCGGGAGGAACACCGGUGGCGAAGGCGGUUCUCUGGGCCUUACCUGACGCUGAGGAGCGAAAGCAUGGGUAGCGAACAGG